rnacentral:rRNA from 1 species
GGGUUGUGAGGUUAAGCGACUAAGCGUACACGGUGGAUGCCCUGGCAGUCAGAGGCGAUGAAGGGCGUGCUAAUCUGCGAUAAGCGCCGGUAAGGUGAUAUGAACCGUUAUAACCGGCGAUACCCGAAUGGGGAAACCCAGUGUGACUCGUCACACUAUCAUUAACUGAAUCCAUAGGUUAAUGAGGCGAACCGGGGGAACUGAAACAUCUAAGUACCCCGAGGAAAAGAAAUCAACCGAGAUUCCCCCAGUAGCGGCGAGCGAACGGGGAGGAGCCCAGAGCCUGAAUCAGCAUGUGUGUUAGUGGAAGCGUCUGGAAAGGCGCGCGAUACAGGGUGACAGCCCCGUACACAAAAGCGCAUGUGCUGUGAGCUCGAUGAGUAGGGCGGGACACGUGGUAUCCUGUCUGAAUAUGGGGGGACCAUCCUCCAAGGCUAAAUACUCCUGACUGACCGAUAGUGAACCAGUACCGUGAGGGAAAGGCGAAAAGAACCCCGGCGAGGGGAGUGAAAAAGAACCUGAAACCGUGUACGUACAAGCAGUGGGAGCACCCUUUGGGUGUGACUGCGUACCUUUUGUAUAAUGGGUCAGCGACUUAUAUUCUGUAGCAAGGUUAACCGAAUAGGGGAGCCGGAGGGAAACCGAGUCUUAAUUGGGCGUUAAGUUGCAGGGUAUAGACCCGAAACCCGGUGAUCUAGCCAUGGGCAGGUUGAAGGUUGGGUAACACUAACUGGAGGACCGAACCGACUAAUGUUGAAAAAUUAGCGGAUGACCUGUGGCUGGGGGUGAAAGGCCAAUCAAACCGGGAGAUAGCUGGUUCUCCCCGAAAGCUAUUUAGGUAGCGCCUCGUGAAUUCAUCUCCGGGGGUAGAGCACUGUUUCGGCUAGGGGGCCAUCCCGGCUUACCAACCCGAUGCAAACUGCGAAUACCGGAGAAUGUUAUCACGGGAGACACACGGCGGGUGCUAACGUCCGUCGUGAAGAGGGAAACAACCCAGACCGCCAGCUAAGGUCCCAAAGUCAUGGUUAAGUGGGAAACGAUGUGGGAAGGCCCAGACAGCCAGGAUGUUGGCUUAGAAGCAGCCAUCAUUUAAAGAAAGCGUAAUAGCUCACUGGUCGAGUCGGCCUGCGCGGAAGAUGUAACGGGGCUAAACCAUGCACCGAAGCUGCGGCAGCGACACUGUGUGUUGUUGGGUAGGGGAGCGUUCUGUAAGCCUGUGAAGGUGUGUCGUGAGGCAUGCUGGAGGUAUCAGAAGUGCGAAUGCUGACAUAAGUAACGAUAAAGCGGGUGAAAAGCCCGCUCGCCGGAAGACCAAGGGUUCCUGUCCAACGUUAAUCGGGGCAGGGUGAGUCGACCCCUAAGGCGAGGCCGAAAGGCGUAGUCGAUGGGAAACGGGUUAAUAUUCCCGUACUUGGUGUUACUGCGAAGGGGGGACGGAGAAGGCUAUGUUGGCCGGGCGACGGUUGUCCCGGUUUAAGCGUGUAGGUGUGUGUUCCAGGUAAAUCCGGUUCACUUUAACACUGAGGCGUGACGACGAGGCACUACGGUGCUGAAGCAACAAAUGCCCUGCUUCCAGGAAAAGCCUCUAAGCAUCAGGUAACAUCAAAUCGUACCCCAAACCGACACAGGUGGUCAGGUAGAGAAUACCAAGGCGCUUGAGAGAACUCGGGUGAAGGAACUAGGCAAAAUGGUGCCGUAACUUCGGGAGAAGGCACGCUGACACGUAGGUGAAGUGAUUUACUCAUGGAGCUGAAGUCAGUCGAAGAUACCAGCUGGCUGCAACUGUUUAUUAAAAACACAGCACUGUGCAAACACGAAAGUGGACGUAUACGGUGUGACGCCUGCCCGGUGCCGGAAGGUUAAUUGAUGGGGUCAGCGCAAGCGAAGCUCCUGAUCGAAGCCCCGGUAAACGGCGGCCGUAACUAUAACGGUCCUAAGGUAGCGAAAUUCCUUGUCGGGUAAGUUCCGACCUGCACGAAUGGCGUAAUGAUGGCCAGGCUGUCUCCACCCGAGACUCAGUGAAAUUGAACUCGCUGUGAAGAUGCAGUGUACCCGCGGCAAGACGGAAAGACCCCGUGAACCUUUACUAUAGCUUGACACUGAACAUUGAGCCUUGAUGUGUAGGAUAGGUGGGAGGCUUUGAAGUGUGGACGCCAGUCUGCAUGGAGCCGACCUUGAAAUACCACCCUUUAAUGUUUGAUGUUCUAACGUGGACCCGUUACCCGGGUUGCGGACAGUGUCUGGUGGGUAGUUUGACUGGGGCGGUCUCCUCCUAAAGAGUAACGGAGGAGCACGAAGGUUGGCUAAUCCUGGUCGGACAUCAGGAGGUUAGUGCAAUGGCAUAAGCCAGCUUGACUGCGAGCGUGACGGCGCGAGCAGGUGCGAAAGCAGGUCAUAGUGAUCCGGUGGUUCUGAAUGGAAGGGCCAUCGCUCAACGGAUAAAAGGUACUCCGGGGAUAACAGGCUGAUACCGCCCAAGAGUUCAUAUCGACGGCGGUGUUUGGCACCUCGAUGUCGGCUCAUCACAUCCUGGGGCUGAAGUAGGUCCCAAGGGUAUGGCUGUUCGCCAUUUAAAGUGGUACGCGAGCUGGGUUUAGAACGUCGUGAGACAGUUCGGUCCCUAUCUGCCGUGGGCGCUGGAGAACUGAGGGGGGCUGCUCCUAGUACGAGAGGACCGGAGUGGACGCAUCACUGGUGUUCGGGUUGUCAUGCCAAUGGCACUGCCCGGUAGCUAAAUGCGGAAGAGAUAAGUGCUGAAAGCAUCUAAGCACGAAACUUGCCCCGAGAUGAGUUCUCCCUGAGACUUAAAGUCUCCUGAAGGAACGUUGAAGACGACGACGUUGAUAGGCCGGGUGUGUAAGCGCAGCGAUGCGUUGA